UCUCUCAGGAUCAGCCCUGCAGGUCACGCCGGGUGGUGUUUCUGCUCUCGGUUUCUUGGGCUGGACCAAGCGGCCACUGUUCAGUGUGUGCAGGACAGCAUGGCACCAGGCAGGGACUUGCCCGAUGUCGCUGGGCCUGUUCAGAGCAGAGCAAGACCUGGAAACCAAGUCUCCUGAUGCUGGAAAACCCCGCUGGGACCUAAGAAGUCUGAGUUCCCAGGCGGGAGUUGCAUCAGCACCUUCCUCCAGCAUCCGCUCAGAAACUGGCCUUGCGGGCUGUUUCCUUCAACGGUGCUGACGGUCUGACCUCGUGGCUCUUGCACUUGUUGUUCUCUUCCUGAACCUUCCCAAAACUGCUCCUCACCCUGCCAUGCUAGCAGCCCUGCAGAGGUCGGCCGGCAGAGCUGACCUGGGCUCCUCCCAUCCCCCCGCCCCAGGGGCCUGUGGGAUUUCCCAGCACUGGGCAGCAGCCCGGGCAAUCCUGAGGGUCAGGUCAUUGCUAUUGCCUCAUCUCCUUCCACAGUUGACUUGGAAGGACUCCCAGCCCCAUGGCUGCCAGCAUGUCCUCUGUGGCACCACAAGUGCCCACGUGGACUGGCCGUAGCUCCUGGAGGCCGAGUCACACAGGAUAGAUCCACCUUUCCUGCUGGGACACAGCCCAGGCGGAAUCCCCCUUUCUUCCCUCUUGCCUGGUUUGGGCGUGAGUCAGGGAAGGCCUCAUUGACUUUUUCCUCUCUACUCCUCCCCAGCCCACAGAGGCAAGAGCAGGCACGUGGAGGGGGUGGGAGGUGGGGGUGGAGCCAGCUGGAGCCAAUGCCCAACUGCCUUGUUGGUAAGGCCAUCCAGGAGCCUCAAGCCAAUGGGUAUUCCUUCCUCCUUCCCUGAGGCUCCAGCCUUCCCCUGGCCCCAGAAUCGGGAUAAAGUCUUUAUACUUAACCCCAGUGUGAUCCCUGCCUUAUUCACGGCCAAGUUCAGACAAGAGGCAAUCAGGGGCUUAAGUGGCUGCCAGAAAAGGCUAGCUGCCUGGUUAUUAAAUAUUAAGAGGCAAGAGCCUGGGAACGUAUAAUUGCAAAUGAGACUUCGAAGCAGAUGUUGCCAACAGCUUGGACCAGCGUUCACAGUUGGGACCAACAGGGGAUUUCAACUCCCCAAGCCAGACUGCUGGCAACAGCCCUGCAUUUACGGGGCACCUGCUGAGUCUCAGACUCUGAACUGGAUGCUGCAGGUACAAAGAUGGACCACACAUGUUCUCAGCUUCAGUGCGUGUUCCCGCUCUGAUAAAGAGGACAGACCGGUCAAGCAAAGGUCCAUGGCCUAGGGCGAUUCUGGGAGAUAAAGUGUGAACUAAGUCAGAGACUUUCUCGCAUGGCAUUCAGUCAAGCGGGAGCUUGCAUUCCACUGACGGACAGGAGUGCACACCAUAAAGAAAGGGCAGAGGGAGAAGCUCCUGCACAGAUCUGGAGGCAUGAAACGUGAGAUGUCCUGAAGAUGAAGAACUGGAGCACAGAGAAGUCACUCAGCCAGCGGUGGGCAGGGCUGGAAUUUGGACCCAUCCAGGCUGCUCCAGAAUCUGAGGCUCCACCCUGAGGCUUGUGUCUUGCAGGGAAGGGGUGGGGCUUUCUAGGGGGUGGGGAAGACCCAUUCUGCAGCUGUAAGCAACAGUAGGGUAGUUCAAGUUCCAGCCCUCAGCUGAGUGGGAGGGUCUGCAAAAUUUGUCAGGAGCCUCAAAUGACAUCCCAAAGGAUUUGGGCUUGAAACAGAGCAACAGAUUGGAUUCUUGGGCCACAGGCACGGUUGGGCAAGACACACCUUGCUUGCUACUGAGAAUGUGGCCCAUGUGUGGAAUGCCAGCAGCUUUACCUGGGAGUCUGUUACAAAGUCAGAACCUCAGGCCCCACCCAGACCUGUUAUACUAAGUCAAAAUUUACGUUUGAUUAUGUGAAAUCCAUCUGCUCUGUGAUCCUGUCCCUUGGGAUGACAGGGAGCAAGGCAACACUGGUGAUUCUGGGGUUCCUCUUCUCUAGUUUGUGCAGUUUCAGAGUCGUAGACAGUCCAGGAAAACCGGAGGCGGCUUCCAGGAGCCUGUCUGCACCGCCCUCCCUCUAGCUCCUGGGCCCAUCUUGCUCAAAUAAAAGCCAAAGGCCUUACUUUGGCCGUGAGGCCAUGAGGACUGUGCUGGGCUUCCUGUCCAAGCUCGUCACCCCCCCCCCCCCCGCCCCCGCACCCCGCCUCCCCUCACUCUCUCUGCUCUAGUCUCUCAGAUGCUCCGCUGUCCUUGAACUUGCCACCCCAGGAUCUUUGCACUACUUCUUCCUGUCACAAGUAUUCCCAUGGCCUUCCUUCACCCUGUCUUCAGGAAAUACCAUUUGCUGAGCAAGACCUUCACUGCCACCUACAAAGAAGAGCAGCAGCCUGCACUGCCCCACCCCCAUCACUCUCUGUCCCUCACCCUACUUCCUUUUUCUCGGCAGCUAUGGUUGUCUACAGAGUAAGCAAGUGUUUCAUAAUUCAUGUGAUUGUUUUUCCAGCUCUCUCACUAACAUGUGAAUGCCUCCAGCACCCAGAACAGCCCAGCCUGUAGUAGGUGCUCAAUAAAAUAUCUGUCAACUGAAUGCAUGCUGUGCCCACUGUCCCGCCCAAGGGGCCUCGCUGGUGCAGCAGCGCUGUGGGGCUGUGGGGCCUGUGAUGACACAGAGGCCUUGGAGCCUGGGUCUGCCUUCCUGGGACACCACGAGGCCUGCCCUGAGGUUAUGCGCCCACCCCCCAGUCCCACUGAGGGAGGGACAGCACCGUCACUGGUCUCGGACCCUCCAGAUUUUCCAACAUGUUCUGCCUCUCCCCUAGUCUCUCCCAAGUCUGCGUGGCAAUUCUUUUGAUUGUAGACUUUACCAAAAUCCAAGGCAGCCUUACUAUGGGCCCAAAUCCCCACAGUAUGACUUACGAAGCGCAGUUACUUGCUGGAAACUGGGGAGAAGAAACACUAGGAGGACAAGCACAGACUGACACGUUCUAAUUCGGCCCAUCACACUUCUAGGCGGUGAAACUUAGGGCCGCCCCAUUUCCCUCAGUCUCUUAUCCAUUCUAGGGGUCAGUCACCGCUUUCUUGGCUGGACAGGCAACAAGACUCCAAGCACAAACUCCAAAGAGCACAAACUCCAAAGGUGUGAUCGCAGGUGUGAACCACCUUAUGCCCCAGGCACUGGGGCUGGGGUGGGCAGUGCAGGGAAAAGGGUAGACUGAGGAUAAGGAGGAGAAUAAGGGACGUAGUAUCAAAAGAUCUGGGGUCAUCCCCUUUGCUUGCCACUGACCCAAUACGUUGCCCAGGCUAUCAGCGUCCACCAAGCACGGAGCUUAUGUUUGCUCAUCUGUACCAAUGGGUGGAUGUGAGUGGCACGCCCCAGCCAGCUGAGGCCAGCAUCCAGCCCAGCCUUCACAUAGCGGGCUGAGAGGCUCCAGGGAGGAAACUGGCCAAAGAGCUCUGGAAAUGAGCCCUGGAGGGACCUCCCAUCCCACUUUCCUCCUUGCUCCAGGGGGCAAUGGCACGGCAGAGGCCGGCAUGGCCACAGUGCCCUGACACCACCAUGCCGGCUCCUCAGAGGCCGGAGCAGAGAAAGUGGUGCGUGUUGCUUUGGCUGUCCCUGAGAGCAGGGCCGGCUGCUGCCCAGGGACAGCACCUUCCCCUCAGGGACAGGAAUGAGGCCAACGGGAGCCCGGGCCGCCCUGCCUGGGAAGGAAACCUGAGUUCAGUGAGGGCAUCUAUUCUUCCA